CAGUCGCCGCGGGAAUACGUAGGUGGCAAGCGUUGUCCGGAAUUAUUGGGCGUAAAGGGCUCGCAGGCGGUUUCUUAAGUCUGAUGUGAAGGCCCCCGGCUCAACCGGGGAGGGUCAUUGGAAACUGGGAAACUUGAGUGCAGAAGAGGAGAGUGGAAUUCCACGUGUAGCGGUGAAAUGCGUAGAGAUGUGGAGGAACACCAGUGGCGAAGGCGACUCUCUGGUCUGUAACUGACGCUGAGGAGCGAAAGCGUGGGGAGCGAACAGGAUUAGAUACCCCCGUAGUCCCUGUCUCUUAUAU
rnacentral:rRNA from 1 species